rnacentral:rRNA from 1 species
AUUGAACGCUGGCGGCAGGCCUUACACAUGCAAGUCGAGCGGAGCGGGGACGGGUGAGUAACACGUGGAUAACCUCCUAUAAGACUGGGAAAACUUCGGGAAACCGGAGCUAAACCGGAAACUUAUAGAUGGAUACGCGCUGCAUUAGCUAGUUGGUAAGGUAACGGCUUACCAAGGCAACGAUGCAUAGCCGACCUGAGAGGGUGAUCGGCCACACUGGAACUGAGACACGGUCCAGACUCCUACGGGAGGCAGCAGUAGGGAAUCUUCCGCAAUGGGCGAAAGCCUGACGGAGCAACGCCGCGUGAGUGAUGAAGGUCUUCGGAUCGUAAAGCUCUGUUAUUAGGGAAGCGGUACCUGAUCAGAAAGCCACGGCUAACUACGUGCCAGCAGCCGCGGUAAUAC